rnacentral:rRNA from 1 species
UACGUAGGGAGCAAGCGUUGUCCGGAAUCAUUGGGCGUAAAGCGCGUGUAGGCGGCUUGGUAAGUCCGCUGUGAAAGUCCAGGGCUCAACCCUGGAAAGCCGGUGGAAACUGUCAAGCUUGAGUCCGGAAGAGGCGAGUGGAAUUCCUGGUGUAGCGGUGAAAUGCGCAGAUAUCAGGAGGAACACCAAUGGCGAAGGCAGCUCGCUGGGACGGUACUGACGCUGAGACGCGAAAGCGUGGGGAGCAAACAGG